CCGCAACCAGAACGCGCUGCGCUCCACACAGACAAUGAAUAGUGAGCGUGUUGAAAACGGAUCUUGGACCUGUAUCUUCAGGUUGGAACUGCUCCGAGAAGAUGCUCUUUUUUGGGGGAAAUUAUAAAAGUGAUCAACUUGUUCGAUCUACCAACGGCGCUAUUAAAGAGGAUUAAAUGAAAAGUUACGCGGAGAAGUUAUUAUUAUGUUUUUGUUUUUUGGAUUAGGACGGCAGCAGUGGAUGGAUUUUAAAACUACAUUUAUGGAUCUUUCUGUCUGUUUGAAGGUAGAAAACCCCGUGUCCGGGAUUCGCGGUGUCUCUGCUCGCCCCACUCCGCGUCAUACAGUGGAAUCUCCUAGGAUACUUUGUAUACACGCGUGGCCAAAGGUGGCCAGCGCCGGUGAUGGUCCGUGUCAUUUAUGCUGUCAAGUCCUUUUAGAAAUAGAUUUGGAGUUUGGAAAUAAGAUACUCCAGAAAUUGUGCUCUGUGUUUUGGAUUGGUGUGUGUGAAGUGGCCAUCUCCAGAUCCAGCAGUCUGGCUCACACUGGUCUCAAGACCUGGAUGAUGACCUGCAGUCCGGCCCGUGAAGUCUCUCUUGCUCUACGUUGUCGGGGGGCACAAACACGAUCCUCUGAACACCCUCUGACCUCUCCUCCACUCUCCUUAGUCUGGAUCAUACUGGGUAAUAUCGUCUCAUAAUCUGUGUUAACUGUCUUCCUUGUAGUUCUGUGCCUCGCUCUCGCUCUCUCUCUUUGCAGGUCUCAAGACCUGCAUACUGACCUGCAGUCUCUCCUGUGCUCAUCGACUUCACUAGCCCCUGCUGCUCAUCUUUACUAUCAAAUUACUAUUCCUACUUAUGGACCGACGAUAUAUAGAUAUCAUUACAAUAUAUCACUGUUUCAUCUUGCUGUCAUGUUUGCUCUGUACUGUAUCAUGUUUGUAUCAUGUUUGCUCCUCUCUCUCUCUCUCUCUUUCUCCUUCAUCCUCUCUCUCUCUCUCUCUCUCUCUCUCCCUCAUCCUCUCUGACUAGCAGCAGGACUGGUUCCCCCUUAA
rnacentral:lncRNA from 1 species